GACGCGUCACUGGUGCGCGCUCAGUAGCGCCAGCAGCUGGCCCAGCGGGGCGCUCUUAUUGGGGAGCCAGACGGCGCAAAGACCAAUUUGCGAUGUGAUCAACUAUAAUUUGGCAGUACAGACACCCGAGUCUCAAUUCUGAGCUCGCUCGUCAAGCGCGCCUUUGGAGGCUGAAGAUUAUCUGCUCGUCAUUCAGCAUUCACUAAUUCAGGUUGGAAGACACGUCGCAUCUGUCUGCAUUUAGUGAAAGCAGUUGAAAGACAAGAGCAAACCCAACCUGGUUCCGACCUACAAAGGAAGGCAUGCGUCGUAAAAUAUGCCAAAUGCAUUGUGGCCCCCCGCACAGCGGCCACUCGCUGACGCACUUUUGAGUCAGCCAUCGACAAACUACAAGAUGAACAAGUGAACCAGUCAUGAGAUGAUGCCUAUCUCAAAUUCAGCAGUAGAAAAAGAAAAGUACAUUCAAUAAGGAGGACACCUAAGGUCCAACGUUGCCAACGUCCCCCGUGACCUCCUCGUCGUAAUAACGUUUCUCCCGACUCCGAUCCACUGCCGCCACACCUGAUUCGCUCUGCCGCUUCGGUGUUCCGUGCCACGCCGCCAACAAUUGGAUUGUGGCCAUCGAGAAGUUUCCAGCUUGUGAGGCUCUUGGAGGAAAUGGGCUCCCUAGGUCCUGUCCUGAUGCCGAGGCGAUAGUGAGGAUUUACGGGUGGACUGGUGAUUAGACGCAGGCCAAAUGGGAACAUGGGGCAAUCACUGGGGCACUUGCACAGCUGACAAAUAUUUACACACACACACGCAAUCAAGGCUUGUGGGCCAGAUACGCCUCCCUCCACAUUUUAUGUGGCCAGCGAAAGCUUGCCAUAUUUCCUUGACUUCAGUUUUUAGGUUGGUUAUUAGGUUUCCCACAUGAAAAUUUAGGCUAAGGGACAAGAAUGGUCACUGCUUGCGGAUCCACAAAAUUGCAAUAAAAUUGUUGUGUUGUUUUAAAAAAAAAAAAAAAAAAAAACACCUACACGUGUGGGGACCAGUGGACAAAUUAAAUUAAAAAACAUAACUAAUUACGUUUCCCUGCAUCAGCGUUGGGCCAAUUAAAAACACUGAUAUGAUAGUGAGACAUCACAUUUUUUAACUACAGGAAUAAAGUAAUAUUUUUAUUCAAGAACAGGGUAUUUAUAUUUUCUAGGAUGUAGUCCUAUUUUAGAGAAUAAAGGCAUAUUUUCCAUAAUAAAAGGCAGUGUAUUACAAGAAAGUUCUUGAAAUUUACUUGUUAGAAUAUGGCUUCCUUCCCUUAAGUUUGACAUUAAUAUAAUAAUAUUACGACUAUCUUGGAAAAUUUCGUACGAUCAUUUAUCCCAACAAAAUAUCUUUGUUCUUGUAAGGAUGAUAGGAUCUUUUCUUCUUGAAAAGUAGUAUAUCCUCAUAUUACAACUUUCUUGUCAAAAAUGUUGGUGAUUGUAACUUUACACCUUUUUUUUCCGCAAACAUUUUUAAUUCCUAUGCAAUGUAGGGGUGCACAUCAUAUUUAUUUUUAAUCGAAUUACAAAGGGGUCCUUGGGAAAAAUUCUCCCGUCAGGGGGUCCUCGGACCGAAACAGUUUUCGAACCCCUGCUCUAGCAACACGGCGAGUCUGCAAACAAACACAGCACAGCUCAGCUUCUGGCUGGAGGACAUCAUAUUUAGCGACAAGCUUUUGGCAAAAUGUCAAACUCAAACUCUUACCGUACCCAAUGACGCAACCGUGACCUUAAAACCAAGGUAUAUACCGUUACACCCCAAGACAUUUUCUUUUAUGUGGAGUCACCAACCAUAACUACGAAGUGGCACCCCUACUGUACCCAGUGUACUUGAUAUUUGUGUGAAUGUGUGUGGCAUGACGACACGCACACCCCGAUUAGUACUUGCGGUCAUGCAGAAUGUGCCACUGCGGCCGUUGAUGAGGAAUUGUUAAGGUUGUGUAAACUGCUUUUGCAUCAACUUUCAUCAAGCGUUUGAAUAUUCAUCAGCCUUGGACGCCAGAACAGCGCAGCAAAUUGCGUCUCCUUCAUAUUAAAAAAGCCAAUCCCACAAGUCCGGCAGAGCCUUGGAGAUGAAACGCUUUCUCCUUUCACCGCUUCCCCACAACGCAAUCUCAAAAGUUGUUAUUUGUGCGGCUUUCGUGGCUUUGAUGCAAAGACCCGCUUUGAUUGGCCGAUGGACAUUUUUUUCGGGCUAAUUCUGGAUGGCGUCGUUUGUGCGGACUGCGCCCAGCUAAGGCUAGCGCCGGUGGGCUAGCAGAAAGCAAUUAAAGGCACCACCUGUUUCAUCCUCCACUGUGGGGUAAUUGGAAACCUCUGUCAGCUGGCGCUCAGCUGCAGCUGCCCCCGAAAAAAAUAAAAAAAUAAAUCUCUAAAAAUAAAUGGCUUGGCGACAGGAGCAGUUGUAAAAUUCAUACGUUUCGUCUUCGGUUCUUUUGAUGAAAAGAAUAAUCCAAACCGUUUUCUUUGUAGCAUCUUCUGAAUCUUGACGGUGGGAGAGUUUUUCCAAACGGUUCUCAUUAAAUGUGGUUCAACUGCAUGAUCCAGAAUGCGUGAAUCCAUACGCCGCUGAAAAUUGGAUGCCACCUCGUCGAUCAUCCUUAUGCCUACACACCUCUACAUGUUUGAGCCGUGAAAAUCCCCUUAAAGCUACUGGCGGCUGGAAUAUAUCCCACAGGGUUGUCGCGAGGCUUUUCAGGCUGCGCCGAGAGGCGCUAGCCACCGGCUAGCUCGUGAGCGAACAUGAUUGGAUGGUCGAAAGUGAGGGGCGAUGGUUUCGGACACAGCUGGCACCUGUGUGUCACAUGGGCGGCACGCAUUACGGACGGAGGCUGCUCUUUGAUCCGCACUGACUCACCGCUGCUGGGAAUUCAUUACAUACAUCAGAGCAGCAGGAAGCAAACAUGGAUGGGAGGUCGACGGGUGCACGCGCCUCCCGUCAUUGCGUCGUUGUCCGACAUCGGCGGCC